UACCAGCACCCCGAGUGGUCGGGACGAUUAUUGGGCCUAAAGCAUCCGUAGCCGGUUCUACAAGUCUUCCGUUAAAUCCACCUGCUUAACAGAUGGGCUGCGGAGGAUACUAUAGAGCUAGGAGGCGGGAGAGGCAAGCGGUACUUAGUGGGUAGGGGUAAAAUCCGUUGAUCCAUUGAAGACCACCAGUGGCGAAGGCGGCUGCCGAGAACGCACUCGACGGUGAGGGAUGAAAGCUGGGGGAGCAAACCGGAU
rnacentral:rRNA from 1 species